CAUGCAGUCGAACGAUGAACCACUUCGGUGGGGAUUAGUGGCGAACGGGUGAGUAACACGUGGGCAAUCUGCCCUGCACUCUGGGACAAGCCCUGGAAACGGGGUCUAAUACCGGAUACUGACCCGCUUGGGCAUCCAAGCGGUUCGAAAGCUCCGGCGGUGCAGGAUGAGCCCGCGGCCUAUCAGCUUGUUGGUGAGGUAAUGGCUCACCAAGGCGACGACGGGUAGCCGGCCUGAGAGGGCGACCGGCCACACUGGGACUGAGACACGGCCCAGACUCCUACGGGAGGCAGCAGUGGGGAAUAUUGCACAAUGGGCGAAAGCCUGAUGCAGCGACGCCGCGUGAGGGAUGACGGCCUUCGGGUUGUAAACCUCUUUCAGCAGGGAAGAAGCGAAAGUGACGGUACCUGCAGAAGAAGCGCCGGCUAACUACGUGCCAGCAGCCGCGGUAAUACGUAGGGCGCGAGCGUUGUCCGGAAUUAUUGGGCGUAAAGAGCUCGUAGGCGGCUUGUCACGUCGGUUGUGAAAGCCCGGGGCUUAACCCCGGGUCUGCAGUCGAUACGGGCAGGCUAGAGUUCGGUAGGGGAGAUCGGAAUUCCUGGUGUAGCGGUGAAAUGCGCAGAUAUCAGGAGGAACACCGGUGGCGAAAGGCGGAUCUCUGGGCCGAUACUGACGCUGAGGAGCGAAAGCGUGGGGAGCG
rnacentral:rRNA from 1 species